rnacentral:rRNA from 1 species
UACAGAGGGUGCGAGCGUUGUCCGGAAUCACUGGGCGUAAAGGGCGCGUAGGUGGCCCGACAAGUCCGUGGUGAAAGCUCGACGCUCAACGUCGAGUCGGCCAUAGAUACUGUUGGGCUGGAGCACUGUAGAGGCUCAUGGAAUUCCGGGUGUAGCGGUGGAAUGCGUAGAGAUCCGGAAGAACACCGGUGGCGAAGGCGGUGAGCUGGGCAGUAGCUGACACUGAGGCGCGACAGCGUGGGGAGCAAACAGG